UUACAAAACAAACCAUGAGACAGAGCUGCACAAGGAGAUAUUUGAACACAAAACCUGGUCAAAAAGAAAUAACACACUCGAGACAGGAAGGAGCUAAAGCCACAGUGAACAAAGAAAGGAGAAAAGAAUUGGCUGCAACACUGUCCUGGAGAUUAAUUUUGAAUUUCGGACUCCUGGAAACCAGAU